UACGUAGGGGGCAAGCGUUGUCCGGAUUUAUUGGGCGUAAAGCGCUCGCAGGUGGUUCAUUGCGUCGUGCGUGAAAGACCCCGGCUCAACUGGGGAGGGUCACGCGAUACUGAUCGACUCGAAGGCAGGAGAGGGUAGUGGAAUUCCCGGUGUAGUGGUGAAAUGCGUAGAUAUCGGGAGGAACACCAGUGGCGAAGGCGACUACCUGGCCUGUUCUUGACGCUGAGGCGCGAAAGCUAGGGGAGCAAACGGG
rnacentral:rRNA from 1 species